UGCAUAAAGGCCUUGAUAAACGAUCAUUUUUUUCCAUUUUCUUGUUACAACAAAAAUAAAUGUAGUGUGACAACAUUGUAUAUUAGCGCUUUACAGAACUAUAAGUUUUUUUAACCAAAAUAUAUUAAAUUAUUCCAGUUUUUGGAAUAGUAAGUGGUAAGGUCCUCUUCAUUAAAAAUGAGAGUCACCUCCUCCAUCGUGCCGGAGGUCACCUUCGGCGGCGGCGGAGGGCCAAUCUGAGAAAUUUACACACCUUUCAGUUCAUCUCUACAUGCUCUAAUCAAAUCCAAAACUAAUUUCACCAAAUUCGAACUCUAAAGUCCUAACCGAAUCAGUUUUCUCCAAGAACCCUAAACACAAAUUGUUAAAUUAAAUCACCACCCCAUGAAAUCAAAGUCCAAGGUGUUAGGGCGUUGAUUCCCUACAACUCAACUCACAUCUCCGUAACUGGUUUGAAGCAAAAUGAUGGAAUCAAGGACUUACCCUGCCAGAGAAGAUGAAGAUGUCAGCAAAAUUUCCAGGGUAUUUGGAAAUAAUGAAGGGUUGGAACAAAGGCAUACAAAGUGGCUUGCAUUUCAAGAAACAUUGGAACAUGGGGAUGGCAAAUUUACGAACAUGUGGACCCUUGAAGAUUCAAACAACAAAGAUGACUUGUAGAAAAGUAAAAAUAGGAACUGAGGUUUAUGAUGGGUGAAAUUAGUCAGUUGACCGUUAACCAAAAAGUUAAUAGUUGACCAAAAGUCAAUUGGGGUCAAAAUUUGUAAUUAUUUGGUUUUGUAUGGUUUGAUUUGCAAUGAUUCAUGGUGUAAUGAUGUAAUGAUACUUUGUAAAGCAAUGAAUUCCCCUUAAUUUGAAAUGCAAACGAACUUGAAUUUGAAUGCA